rnacentral:rRNA from 1 species
AUACGGAGGGUGCAAGCGUUACUCGGAAUCACUGGGCGUAAAGCGCGCGCAGGCGGCUUGAUAAGUUGGAUGUGAAAGCCUACGGCUCAACCGUAGAACUGCAUCCAAAACUGUCAGGCUAGAGUGUGGGAGAGGAAGAUGGAAUUAGUUGUGUAGGGGUAAGAUCCGUAGAGAUAACUAGGAAUACCAAAAGCGAAGGCAAUCUUCUGGAACACUACUGACGCUGAGGCGCGAAGGCGUGGGGAGCGAACGGGAUUAGAAACCCGGGUAGUCC